rnacentral:rRNA from 1 species
AGAGAAAAAUCCUGAAAUUCAGGGUUGACUCUGAAAGAGGAAAGCGUAAUAUACGCCACCUCGCGACAGUGGGCUGAAAGCCGCGUCGCAACUGCUCUUUAACAAUUUAUCAGACAAUCUGUGUGGGCACUCGAAGAUACGGAUUCUUAACGUCGCAAGACGAAAAAUGAAUACCAAGUCUCAAGAG